AUUGAACGCUGGCGGCAUGCCUUACACAUGCAAGUCGAACGGUAACAGGUCUUCGGAUGCUGACGAGUGGCGAACGGGUGAGUAAUACAUCGGAACGUGCCCGAGAGUGGGGGAUAACGAGGCGAAAGCUUUGCUAAUACCGCAUACGAACUCAGGAUGAAAGCAGGGGACCGCAAGGCCUUGCGCUCACGGAGCGGCCGAUGGCAGCUUAGGUAGUUGGUGGGAUAAAAGCUUACCAAGCCGACGAUCUGUGGCUGGUCUGAGAGGACGACCAGCCAGCCUGGGACGAGGACGCGGCAGCGACUGCUACGGGGGUCAGCAGUGGGGAAGUUUGGACAAUGGGCGCAAGCCUGAUCCAGCCAUGCCGCGUGCAGGAUGAAGGCCUUCGGGUUGUAAACUGCUUUUGUACGGAACGAAAAGACUCUGGUUAAUACCUGGGGUCCAUGACGGUACCGUAAGAAUAAGCACCGGCUAACUACGUGCCAGCCGCCGCAGUAACAC
rnacentral:rRNA from 1 species